AGCGAACGCUGGCGGCAGGCCUAACACAUGCAAGUCGAACGAACUCUUCGGAGUUAGUGGCGGACGGGUGAGUAACACGUGGGAACGUUCCUUUAGGUUCGGAAUAACUCGGGGAAACUUGUGCUAAUACCGAAUGUGCCCUUCGGGGGAAAGAUUUAUCGCCUUUAGAGCGGCCCGCGUCUGAUUAGCUAGUUGGUGAGGUAAAGGCUCACCAAGGCGACGAUCAGUAGCUGGUCUGAGAGGAUGAUCAGCCACAUUGGGACUGAGACACGGCCCAAACUCCUACGGGAGGCAGCAGUGGGGAAUCUUGCGCAAUGGGCGAAAGCCUGACGCAGCCAUGCCGCGUGAAUGAUGAAGGUCUUAGGAUUGUAAAAUUCUUUCACCGGGGACGAUAAUGACGGUACCCGGAGAAGAAGCCCCGGCUAACUUCGUG
rnacentral:rRNA from 1 species